rnacentral:tRNA from 2 species
GCCCGCGUAGCUCAGUGGAUAGAGCGUCUGCCUCCGAAGCAGAAGGUCCCGAGUUCAAUUCUCGGCGUGGGUAC